GCAUUGAGCAUCCUCUUGUUCAGAAUGCUGUGUGGAUAUAUUCCAGAUAGUUUCAACAUCUACAGGACCAACAUGAACACCUGGUCCAAACCUGGCUUGACAGAAGGUGAGUUCUUCUCCACGAGUACAAUUCAACUAAAAAACUUUAUAGGAUUAACUGGAGAUGGCAUAUGGAUAAUGCAGCAAUUUAUCCUGUUUUACAGACCUAAAGAACUUUCAGCUUGGAAUAAGAAGAAUGUAGUUUACAGUAAUAAUCAGACGUCUCUUCCAUCUUUCUGCACAGAAUGCUGCCAUUUGAUCUGCUCCCUUCUGCAGCAAAAGCCAGAACAUCGGAUUGAUCUGGACAGGAUUGUUUACCAUGACUGGUUUUAGUCUAAACAGCCCAAGGCCCUUCCCCAAAACAUCGACCUAUCAAUCCAGUGAUGGACAUUAUUAAGCUGCUGGACUGGAAGGACCAUCAGGACGUCUACAGUUUUUCAGUCGUCCAGCGUUUAUCACACUGCAU